rnacentral:snoRNA from 1 species
CAGUGAGAGGAAUGAUGUAUUAUAUAUUACCGAGCUCUUAACAUGCUGGCUUUUUUGGAUUUAGCUUCUGAGGUGGACAUAAAGG